rnacentral:rRNA from 1 species
GUAUUAGUUAGGUUCUUGAAACCCAAAGGAUUUGGCGGUAUUUUAGUCUUUUUAGAGGAACCUGUCCCGUAAUCGACAUUCCACGAUUUAGUUUACUUUCUUUUGUAUACAGUUUGUAUACCUCCGUUAAAAGGAUUUCUUUUUAGAGAAAAUUUCCCUUUAUGUUAAAGACAUUUAUUUCAGGUCAAGGUGCAGCUUAUAAGUAAAGUGGAGAUGGGUUACAAUAAUUUUUUUAUAUGGAUGUAUUGUUUUGUUAUAAUAUUAAAGGUGGAUUUAAUAGUAAAUUUUUUUAUUAAAUUUUUUGAUUUUGGCUCUAAAAUAUGCACACAU